AACGAUGUUUUGGUGGCUAUCGCAAUUCUCCCGUGAUUCCAUCGACGUGUCGAACGCACAUUGCGGCGGCCCUGUGCCUUCUUCGAAGGACGGCUGCCACCUUCCCUCG
rnacentral:rRNA from 1 species